GGCCAGGUCCAAAGAUGCCAUGGUCUUCUCAGGUCAGCGCUGACACUUGGCAGCACCCCGGAGCAGAUUCCUGCAGCCUCCUCCACUCGCCCCACUUCUCUGACAAGGUGCACAGCCUGCCUGUGCGGUGGCCUGGUGUGAGCAAGGAACGCAGGUCCGGCCAAUGUUUGCCACGUGGGUGCGAGGCUGCCAGUGAAGGGGAUCCCCCAGGACAGGAUGGCACUGCCUUGGCGCCCAGCACUGCGGCCUCAUCCUGCCAGGGGCUGUCCCACAGCCCGGGUGCCCGCAGCCACCAAGGCCCACGGGGCUGGCACCCCACAAGACUUGGUCUCUCACAUUUCUGCACGACGUUGCAGAAGAAAAUGAGAACCUCAGGUGCCCACCCGGGUGAGACCAGAGAGCUCCACCACAGAACAGACACAGCCACAAGUCUGUAACUUCUUUAAUUAUUCAAACAAUAGAGCACAAAGGUAAGAGUUUCAAGUACAUUGUGAUACACGCUUUUGACAGGAAUAGAUAGGCAUUUAGUCACAAGGGAGGCUGGCAGCAAGGCGGCGCGGACACUUCGCACAAACUCUUCACACCGUCAACCCUGCAGAGGGAGCGGACGCCUCACCAGGUGGCUCCGCGCUGCACCACCCUGGUACCCUGUGCUGAGGGCUCCCCUUUGUUGGCCAUGAGAGAGGAUUCUGAACGUGAGGGCGGGCGGGGGGCUGUAGCCUAGGAUGGGGACAGCGGGGGCAGGGGGAGGGUGCUGCCACCACGCUUGGCUGGGGCCGCACUGGAGGUGGCCAGUGCGGGGUGGGGGGGCACCUAGGGGCCUGGCCAGCGCUCAGGUUCUCUCUUUGGCUAGUCAGGCUGAGGGCUGAUUCAUCUGUGAAUCAACGUGGCCAGAGCCAUUGGCGUGCCAGUGCUUCCCGUUUACUUUUGCUGGCUUACACUCAAGAUGGAACAGAACAGAAACCACCAAAUUCCACCAGGGAUUGUAAACCUUGCACCUGCUGACUACCUGAAAGACCAAAGAAAAUUCUUUUACAGAGAAAAGAAAAAAACCAAGGAGUACUCCUGCCCAGAGGGCCUGGAAGCAUGCAGAGGGCAAGCUCCAGGCUACGCGGCUGUCCCUGGCACCAGCCGUGCAGGCCCCCGGCCUCCUGGAAGAGGUACACCCUGCCAGGCCCUCAGCACGGCAGCUCCUCAGGGACCAGUGCUUCUGGCUGCAGAUGCCACCGCAGGCCUAGCCUGAGGGGCAGCACCUCCAGACCCUGCCCGGGCAGUCCUGGGACCUGCCCGAAGCUGUCAGGCUCAGGUCUACCCCUCAAACCCAAACCAGCCUCCAGACAAGCUGAAGUUGCUAAGAGGCCCUAUGCUCGCACAGCCUGUCCUUCCAAAACCCAGCCAGCUUAGACACUUGGCCCGAAGCACAAGUCGGGACAGCAGCCUUUGAUAAGCCAAAGCACUGUGAGUGACAGCCAACGGCUGAGCCCCUCUCGGCUGAGUCUAGAACACACCCUCGAGCAUGGAGGACCUCUUCCCCCAGACCCAGCUGACAUAGGGCGCCAGUCACAGGGUGCCCACUAAAGGAGGACCAUGCCCUAGGGACAGAAGUCUACACCUAACAACCACUCCAGACAGACAGCUUGGACUUGACAACACCAACAUGACCCGAGGACCCCAGCAGCCCUGAGACUAGCCACUGUGACUGGGGAAGUGGGGAGGUUGGGGCCACCCCGAGAGCAGGUGGAAAAUGUGCACUCCUCGGGGAGUUUGCCACGAGGGUCCUGGGGGGCGGGUGUCAGAGAUCAACACUUAGCCCUCUCCUUGGGGACCCAUCUGGAAAGGGUACCCCAGGACUUCACAAAGCAGCGAGGGCCCUCCUCCCUUCACCGCCAGAGGACCAGAUACUCCAAUGUGGGACAACCAAGUGGAGGGGACGGGGUCUGUCGACGGCUACACGAAGCAUGGGGAGAGAGUCGUGGGUGGCUGCCUGGAGGCCUCUCCUCCUCCGGGCCUGCGCCAGGCUGCGCUGGGUGAGGGCUGGGGGGUGGGAGCGGGGCGGUGCCCGCACACGGCACCCCCCAGUCUUUGGAGUGCACAAAGUCUCUCACACAACAAAUACAAACAGAGCUGAGGUUUCUCCAGUGAUGAAAAUAAACAAGUUGGUUUGGUUACCUACUUUGGCUUCCUACUUAAGCUGAUCUGAAUUCACAGUAUAAGCAACACAUCUAAAUAUAAUGCUGGGCCCUCCUGUCGGCACUGGGUUUCCCAAACAAAGAAGCCAAAACAGAAGAGAAAAAGGGGCUGCGACAGGAAUUCUUAGUUAUUAUAUACUAACCAGUCUGUGCGUGGCACAUUUUAUUUCUAUAAAACUAUUACAAAAUAUUCAAAAAUACAUUUUAGUAAAUUUACAGCAGUUAUUUCUCAAUUUAUUAAUGCAAAAACAUCCUUUGUUUUUCUCUGUACAAACUACACGCUCCAUCCUUGUGGGCUCAUCACUAUGUGCGCUUUUAAAAAAUAUUAUUUUCUAAUAAAUUCUUUGAAGUUAAAAAUAACAGAGUUCUUCCAGUUUGUCCAAAAAAAAGUGUGUGUGUGUGUGUGUGUAACAGUCUUGACUUCUAAGAAUGUGGCCAAAAUGGUGAUCACAGAGCAAAUAUUAACCCAUGAAGACAUACGGGAGGUGGCUGUUACACUGGAAACUAGUUAAAUUAAAAUAAUAUAUUUUCAUAUUUUACACUAUUUCAAAAAUGAAAUGUAAUUCAGUUAAGUAUUGAUCUCUCAAAAAAUCUAAUUUACAAUUCUGUGUAUAAAAAUAUAAUUUGCGGACCCCCACGAAGCACGUUUUAGUUCACACUUGCUGAAAAGCAGGCGCGUGGCAAACGAAGAAUGCAGAGCGCAGAGUUUUGCUUUCUGAAAGUCAGGGCGAGGGACAUGUAGAAAAAUAGACUCUGAGCAGGUCGCUUGGCCUCACAAAAUAAUCUCUCCCCCCUGUGAGUACAGUUCACAUGAUAAUAAUAAAUUAUCCAAGAAACAAACUAGUUAAGGCUCUUGAAGGUCCGGUUCAUAUUAUUUAAAACAUCUAUUCAUACCAAACAAAUAAAUAGCCAGGAGAGGUGGAAAAAAAAAAAAAAAAAACCAAAAUAAAACAACAACCAAAAAAUUCAAAAAAAUAUAUAUAAACUAAACACAACGACAAAACUUCCCGGGAUCUCUGUUUCCUUAUAGUCUACUUUGGACUGUCCUACUUUAUUAUUAUUAUUAAUUAUUAUUAUAAUUAAAGUCUCAUUCCGUGCGCUUUUCCGUGCGUCUUUUGCUGUUCCUUGCUCCGGCUCCCCCCGCCCGCGCCCUCCCCGCGCCCUCCCCGCGCCCUCCCCGCGC
rnacentral:lncRNA from 1 species